AGCAUAUCAAUAAGCGGAGGAAAAGAAACCAACAGGGAUUGCCCUAGUAACGGCGAGUGAAGCGGCAACAGCUCAAAUUUGAAAUCUGGCUCUCGGGCCCGAGUUGUAAUUUGUAGAGGAUGCUUUUGAUGCGGUGCCUUCCGAGUUCCCUGGAACGGGACGCCAUAGAGGGUGAGAGCCCCGUCUGGUUGGAUGCCAAAUCUCUGUAAAGCUCCUUCGACGAGUCGAGUAGUUUGGGAAUGCUGCUCUAAAUGGGAGGUAUAUGUCUUCUAAAGCUAAAUACCGGCCAGAGACCGAUAGCGCACAAGUAGAGUGAUCGAAAGAUGAAAAGCACUUUGAAAAGAGAGUUAAAAAGUACGUGAAAUUGUUGAAAGGGAAGCGUUUAUGACCAGACUUGGGCUUGGUUAAUCAUCUGGGGUUCUCCCCAGUGCACUUUUCCAGUCCAGGCCAGCAUCAGUUUUCGCCGGGGGAUAAAGGCUUCGGGAAUGUGGCUCUCUCCGGGGAGUGUUAUAGCCCGUUGCGUAAUACCCUGGCGGGGACUGAGGUUCGCGCAUCUGCAAGGAUGCUGGCGUAAUGGUCAUCAACGACCCGUCUUGAAACACGGACCAAGGAGUCGUCUUCGUAUGCGAGUGUUCGGGUGUCAAACCCCUACGCGUAAUGAAAGUGAACGCAGGUGAGAGCUUCGGCGCAUCAUCGACCGAUCCUGAUGUUCUCGGAUGGAUUUGAGUAAGAGCAUACGGGGCCGGACCCGAAAGAAGGUGAACUAUGCCUGUGUAGGGUGAAGCCAGAGGAAACUCUGGUGGAGGCUCGCAGCGGUUCUGACGUGCAAAUCGAUCGUCAAACAUGGGCAUGGGGGCGAAAGACUAAUCGAACCUUCUAGUAGCUGGUUUCCGCCGA
rnacentral:rRNA from 1 species